ACUUCAAAAGCAGUGCUGAAGUUGAGAGCUGAGAACACAGAGGAGGCAACUGAUUGGAGUGACCUGGUCCGCCGGAUGCUCAUGUCCUACCUGGAAGUGGCUGAGGAGGCCCUCACACUUGGAGGCCAUCUGGAUGGCAGUUCACAGGCAAUCCUGAAGAAUACUGUUAAGGAAAAUGGAUAUUUGCUGCAGUAUCUGGUUGCCAUCCCCAUGGAGAAAGGCCUGGACUGCCAAAGUUUCAUAUGUGCAGGCUGCUCCAGGCAGAUUGGCUUCUACUUUGUGAAACCUAAGCUGUGUUCAUUCACUGGCCUCUAUUUUUGUGACAAUUGCCACCAAGAUGAAGAGUCUGUGAUACCUUCAUGUCUAAUUCAUAACUGGGAUCUUUCCAGAUAUCCGACCCUGCAGAUGGCGGAGUGGAAAUGGCAGUCUGCGUGGCGAUGUCGGCCUCCAUACCCGACACACCUAGAGGAUGAUGCUGGCUGGGCCUUCCCUCUGUGAGGCCUUCUCUCCGGAGCCUGAUGCAGCUGGUCCACUUCCGAUUCUGGAUCCUGUUUGGAUUCUUCGUGAGCGACCUCUUGAUGGACGGUGGCUGGAACUUGAGGGGGCUUGGCAAGCCGCAAGGCCUUCACAGCUCUGCCUGCUGCUUCUUCAGCUGAAACUUCCCUCAGUUCCCGUGAGGCCUUCCUUCGCGAAGAGCUUCUGCUGCAACUUCCGGCUUCCGAGGCCACAGACCAGCCGAUCUCUUCCAAGUCUUUGAAUUCGCAGGGCCUAGCUGCUUGUUGCAAGGCCGCAACAAAUUCUGCAGCACACUCACCAGGCCUCUGGUCCCUCUGCUCAAACGCGUGUCACCAGGCAAUCACUGAGAGCUUGGGUUCGAAAUGCUCUUAAAGCAUCCUCUUCAAGUCAGUGUAGGUGAUUGAUUCCAGUGGUGCUGGGGCGACCAGAUUCUCCUCAAUAUCGAAGGUCUCUUGUCCCUCCCCCCCCACAGCAACGUGGCAGCUUUGAGGCCGUCUUCGCGCAUUUGAUUCACCCGGAGGUAGUUGUCCACCCGGGUCACGUACGAGCUCCAUCGUUCUGGAUGAACUGUGUCAAACUUCGACAGCCGGCCUAUCUUCGCCAUCGUUGCAGCCCAGGAACUUCGUCCACACCUCUUGCUGCAGGGUUUGAGAAGGGCCCCCCUUCACUAAGCUCACCUCCAGCAUUUCUGUGCUGACAGGCCGAGUCGCAAUCGCCAGACACCCCUCCUCCAAGCUGCAAGCCUCCCGUGAGAAGCCAGAGUGGUUCUGAAUUACUUCUAUGUGGGCAGAAAACCAGGGUGCCUCCUGUUCCUGAAGACAACAGAUUGGCUUACAGGAUCCAGAAGAAAUGGAGACAAGUGAGGGAAAGUGGCAAAUUCAGGAGGAAUGACUGGGAAACUGCCAUCUUUAUCCACACUAGUGUCAACAUGGAGUGAUGGCUUAGAUGACUUUAAAAUUCAAUGGGUGAACAGUUACAUUUAGAGAGUACAACAGAUGGCUCUAGACAUCAAUUGCCAAGUAAAAGCCAACCUAUGUUAAACACUGCAACCCAAUCCUAAAGUAUACGUACUCAGAACUAAGCCUCAUUGAGUUUAAUACACACCCAAAAUGACAGGAUUAUUUAUUUAUUUAUUUAUUUAAACAAAUUUAUGUAACUGUCUGAUUCACACAUAAGUAUUCCAGGCAGCUUGCAAAAUCUGCAAAAAAUCCACCAUCCAGUCACACUAUUAUUAUUUUAUUAUUAUUAUGGAUCAUCGCACAGUCGGCCAGAUUUUGUCUACCUAUCGAGUCCUUACCCAGGACCUGGGAUAGGCAGAU